CACCGGGGGCGACAGCAUGAUGAAGGCCAGGUUGAAGACCUUACCUGAUCUGAUGAGAGGUGGAGCAUGGCCGUCGUCAGUUCGUACUGUGAAGCAUCCUGUUAAGUCAGGCAACGAGCGAGACCCACGCCCACAGUUGCCAGCGAGCCCUUUGGGGUGGCGGGUACUCUGUGGGGACCGCCGCUGUUAAAGCGGAGGAAGGAAUGGGCAACGGUAGGUCAGUAUGCCCCGAAUCUCCCGGGCUACACGCGGGCUACAAUGGUCGGUACAAUGGGCAUCUACCCCGAAAGGGGAAGGAAAUCUCUUAAAGCCAAUCGUAGUUCGGAUUGAGGGCUGCAACUCGCCCUCAUGAAGCUGGGAUCCGUAGUAAUCGCGUUUCAACAGAACGCGGUGAAUACGUCCCUGCUCCUUGCACACACCGCCCGUCAAACCACCCGAGUAGGGUCCGGAUGAGGGUGUAUUAUAUUGAUACAUUCGAAUCUGGGCUAAAAAAGGGGGGUUAAGUCGUAACAAGGUAACC
rnacentral:rRNA from 1 species